rnacentral:rRNA from 1 species
AACGAACGCUGGCGGCAUGCCUAACACAUGCAAGUCGAGCGAGACAUGCGGGUCUAGUGGCGCACGGGUGCGUAACGGGUGGGGACAUGCCCUUAGGUUCGGAAUACCUCCCCGCAAGGGGUGCUAAUACGGGAUAAUGUCUUCGGCCCAAAGAUUUCUCGACAUUGGAGGGGCCCGGGUUGGAUUAGCUAGUUGGUAGCGUAAAAGCCUACCAAGGCGACGUUCCAUAGCUGGUCAGAGAGGAAGAUCCGCCACUCUGGGACUGAGACACGGCCGAGACUCCUACGGAAGGCAGCAGUGCGGAAUAUUGGACAACGGGCGAAAGCCUGAUCCUGCAAGGCCGCGUGAGUGAUUUAGGCCUGAGGGUUGUAAAGCACGUUUACCCGGUACUAUAAUGACAGUACCGGGAGAAUAAGCGCCGGCUAACUCCGUG